rnacentral:rRNA from 1 species
UACGGAGGAUGCGAGCGUUAUCCGGAUUUAUUGGGUUUAAAGGGUGCGUAGGCGGGUUAUCAAGUCAGCGGUAAAAUCGUGGAGCUCAACUCCAUCCAGCCGUUGAAACUGAUGAUCUUGAGUGGGCGAGAAGUAUGCGGAAUGCGUGGUGUAGCGGUGAAAUGCAUAGAUAUCACGCAGAACUCCGAUUGCGAAGGCAGCAUACCGGCGCCCGACUGACGCUGAAGCACGAAAGCGUGGAUAUCGAACAGG